UGAAGUUGAUGGCAUGUUCAAUAUUGACAAGGCAUGAAGACAUGGAUCAUGAAGCAAGUCAUGACAUAUGAAUAAGUUUUGGAAAAGAUCAAGGACCAUGAAGGAAUCUUUAAACCUUUGGAUGAACAAUAGUGAAAUGGCUUAAGGAUGAAGAAAAAGUAGAAUAUGGUUUAGGAUUAGGUAGUUUGACUUUGGUCAAAUGAUGUAAUUUUGUGUAGAUUUUGAUUUUGG
rnacentral:lncRNA from 1 species